UACGUAGGGGGCGAGCGUUGUUCGGAAUUACUGGGCGUAAAGGGCGAGUAGGUGGCCAUCUAAGUCAGACGUGAAAUCCCCCGGCUUAACCUGGGAACUGCGUCUGAUACUGGACGGCUUGAGUAUGGGAGAGGAACGUAGAAUUCCAGGUGUAGCGGUGAAAUGCGUAGAUAUCUGGAGGAAUACCGGUGGCGAAGGCGGCGUUCUGGACCAUUACUGACACUGAAUCGCGAAAGCUAGGGGAGCAAACGGG
rnacentral:rRNA from 1 species